GAUGAAAAAACCCUCCUCUCUUGAACAAGAAGCGGCGCACCUCUCUGUUCUUGAGCUAAAAGAAACGAACACCCUCCCCUUCUUCUUCUCUAUUCCCUCCUCACAUUACCCUCUCACCCUUCAACACCACCUUACACACACACACACGAGAAAAUGGCUAAAUAAUAGAUUGAGAUUUUGAGAAAUCAAAUCAAGAUCUGAGAGUUUAGGAGCUCGAAAAAAAUACAAAGGAGCAUAGACGAGUUUUUAAAGUUCAAAUCUGUUCUCCUGGGUUUACAAGAGCUGUAGAGGAUUAUUAAGUGCCCCUGCUGUUGUUUUGAAAUUGGCUGAGCUUUGUCCGUUAAUUUCUGGCUUUAAUUGGGUCUUCUCAAUUACUGUUUUCCUGAGAUAAAGCCAAAGAGAAGUUGAAAAUAUUUGUUGUGUAACAUCGAGCGGGUUCCUGAUUACUCGAACUUGAAUUGCUUCUUCCUUUCGUUCUCCAGGCGGGCUUCUGACUACUUGACAUUUGGAUUGUAUUCCUUUGUUCUCCAGGUGGGCUCCUGAUUGCUAAAACUCGAA